UGCCCAGCAAGUCCUAUCCCUACCUCCUCACGGUACUGGCCGGGGUACGAGUAACGUUAGGGAAGAUCUCUGGUCGUAUGCUGACAGGGAAGA
rnacentral:ribozyme from 1 species